UACGAGGGGGGCAAGCGUUGUUCGGAAUUAUUGGGCGUAAAGGGCGCGUAGGCGGUGCGGUAAGUCACCUGUGAAAUUUCCGGGCUUAACUCGGAGUCUGCAGGCGAAACUGCCGUGCUGGAGUAUGGGAGAGGUGCGUGGAAUUCCCGGUGUAGCGGUGAAAUGCGUAGAUAUCUGCCGGAACACCCGUGGCGAAAGCGGCGCGCUGGACCACUACUGACGCUGAGGAACGAAAGCUAGGGGAGCAAACAGG
rnacentral:rRNA from 1 species